rnacentral:lncRNA from 1 species
UUAGAGCUGCUGCCCUCCUUUCUAACCGCACUGAAGGGCCACCUGGAGGUGCCAACGUGCAGUUGUUACCUAUGACUCUCCUGAUCCUAUAACCUUAAUCUUAAAAGAAGAAACGGACCUGAACUACUCAUUUGUUUGAGAAUUCCAGAAACUGUUAUAACUACUAACCAUCUGAUAUGUGAGAUUUGCUUUCAGUAAAACAUGUUAACUAAGUGUCUAUGUAAAAAAAAAAAAAAAACUAUCAUUAUUUAUGUAAAAUAAUCUUACUAGAGAAAUUCAUACUGUUACAAGUUAGAGGAAACCUUUAUUGAAAUAAGGUUAUUUUCUAUGUGGGCAAAUCUUUGCCGGGCACGCUGUUUUACUAGCUGCUGCUUCUGUGAAUAGUUCUACUCGGAGAGCAGAGCUGUGCUCAGAACCAGUAGUGACCCGUGCUUCGGGCUGUCGGCUCUGGUUAGUUGGUUCUCCUUGCUCAGCCAUCACCAAGCUAACGGGCAGCUCAGACGUCCCAUUUGGCUUCUCCGAGGCAGAGUUCCAGACCGUAGCGGAAACACGCCCUUGCGUUGGUCGGCUCAAACACGGACGCAUAUGAUGGGUACAGCUUCACCCAAGGGCUGUGUCAGAAUCUGCUGUCAGGAAAUCAUACGAAGUCUUUCUGUUUCUACGGAACACGCAUUUCUUUAAAACAUGACCAUGCUUCGUGGUGGCCUUUUCUAUAAUUUUCUCUUAAUAACAUGUACUCUGAUCUGCAUUAAAGGAUCUUAAGAAAGAGUUCUAACUUCUCUACAUAUGUGCCCCUCCCCAAAAAGGGAGAUUCCGACGGUACCUGUAACCUUGGAAUCUGUUUUAAAAAAGCAGUGUGCGUGUGUGUAAGGGGCGGGGGAGGAAUAUGCAUGUGACGUCCAGGAACCUUUUGGGAACCUGUUCUCUCCUCCCACCAUGUAUUUGAGGCAGGAUCUCUCACAUCUCAGAGGCUCUGCAGACUUCCAGCCAGUUGGCCAGAAAGCCUCCCCGUGCUUCCCCUGUAGGAGCUGUGAGGUUAGAUGUGAGCCAGUGCAUCUGGUUUCUUAACAUGGGUUCUGGGGCUCAAGCAGGAUUUACCUACUGAACUACCUCACCACCCCUCCCCCAGCCUCCAGAAUCCCAGGGGAGGGUUUGAGAAAUUGCCUUGUCCUCUGACACUCCAAACUAAUUCCAUUCUCAGGCGUGGGAGCUGGGAAUGGCUCGUGGGUGGUUCUCUUAGUCAAGACCGAGAAGCAAUGCCUUCUGCUUGGCUAGAAGGGGUUUGGGUCUUAGCUCCCGCUCUAAAUGGCAGUGCCAAGGAACUGGAGCAGGAAGAUUGUCUUUUGCCUGAUCCCCGGGCUACAUAGUUGGGUGUGGUCCAGCCUGAGUGAAACUCCGUGGGGAGUAAAGGUAGAGGGAGAAAGAAAGAGGCAGUGGGGGAUUUAAAGAGAAGCCCACCGAGUAACUGGUCCCACGCCUCAGCAGAUAUCCAGCCUGCCUGCGCCUUGAUUUCUUCUAGUCUGUAAUGGCAAUCAGGUCUGGACCCGAGGUUCCCUUUCCUUGCCAGUGACUUUGAAGCCUAAGCAGGAUAAUUGCUAUCAGCGGGAGGGCCUGUGUGUGUGGUAAGCUAAUGGUUGAAAUGUUCGGGCCUCUGGAGUGGCAGUCAGUGUCCACAACUUCCACUCCAAGAUGGAACAUCCCCGACCAAGUUUCUGCCUGUUUCCACCCAAGUCAGUCCGUGUGGCAUGCUGGGAGUGUGACAUCCUGGCUGGGGAGGAAGACUUGGGAGUCCAGGUGGUUUCAGACCCUUCUCGGUUCAGCCUAUUGUGGGCAAAGCCGUGUUCUUACACAAUCUUGGUAAAGCUUCCCCUGCCGUGGUUUGGCCUCAGGUGUGGUGGGUUCAGCUUAAUUGGAAGGCUGUAUUAAUCUGUAAACCCCACAUUAAAUAGGUGCAAGGUUUGGUUUAGAGUUUACCCACUCUUUCCUUGAUUUUAGAAUUUCUGACCCUUUACGAGGUGAGGUGCUUUUUAUAGCCACAUUUUGGUUUCCCUUCUUAUUUUUUUUGUCUCCCUACCGCCCCACUCCUCAACAAGUCAAUUCACCACAGAUCUUAAUCGCAGCACUCUUCAUAGCUGAAGCCACAACUACAGACUCUUCAAGCCUCAGGACAGUUACAUAAAGUGCCGGAGAAAUAGGCUUUGUGGUAGAGCAGGAGAGGGGAGGCUGUUGUCUCCUAUGUGUAUAGCUCAGGCUGUGCCCUUCUUUUAAAAACUGUGAGCAGAAAACACAAUCUACUCCUGAGUACAGGACACCGAGGGGCUUAGCUCUGAAUGCUUUGCUCCCUCGCAGUGGUGUGUGUGUGUGUGUGUGUAUGUGUGUGUGUGUGUGUGUGUAAUAGACCCCUGGGUUAUUUAUGUGAAGUCACUGCGAUCCUUUUCAGAGCUGUGGGGAGUUCUAGCCCUUUGAAAUCCAAUUCUGUUGUGCGAGGCAAUUUUUUCCCUUUGUAAAUACUAAUGACUAUCAGAACCUGCAGAUGCGGAGGUAAUGACAAGGAAGCCGUGUUCUUGAAGCAGUAGCCAGUUUCCCCAUGGCAGUAGAUGGUAAAAAUGCUCCCUGUGCAUCUGUGUUCAUCAGGGUUCUGCAAGGAACAGAACUGUCCCUGAGACCAGAUGUCUCGGCAGCCCCAGUCUGGCUGGAGUACUAGGGAGGUCCUAGAGAGAUGCCAGUUGGUUCUCAGUCCAUGUUGGAAUCCCAGAGAAGUGGACUCUAAGGCCCGUGAAAGAAUGGGUCAGGAUAGGUAAGCCUGUCGUGAGAGGCAAGAAGGCAGGAAGCGCAAGCUUCAUUGCCUUGUGGCCUUUUAAGAGGGCUACCAGGCUGGAGAGGUGGCUCAGCAGUUAUGAGCACUGACUGCUCUUCCAGAGAUCCUGAGUUUAAUUCCCAGCAACCACAUGGUGGCUCACAACUAUCUGUAAUGGGAUCUGAUGCCUUCUUCUGGUGUGUCUGAAGACAGCUACAGUGCUGACAACUAAGAGCAUCAAUCACUGAGUCUCUUGGGGAAACCAAAUACAUGAAAAUGUAGGACCAGGAGGCCAUCAGAGCUGGGAGCAUCAGGGUGUAAAGAUACCGCUUCCUGUUGUCUAUAACUCAGCCUCUGGAAAUCCUGGCAGGACCUGUCCAUAAGGAGGCAGUGUAGCCUAGCAGUUAAGAGCACAUUCACCCAGCUGUGUCUUAGUUUUCCUGCCUGUGUAAUGGAGAUACUAAUAGUAGUUAUGG